GUCUCAGGCCGGAUCAGCCUGAAGGCGCCUGAUCUCGUCUGAUCUCGGAAGCUAAGCAGGGUCGGGCCUGGUUAGUAUCUUGGAUGGGAGACCACCUGGGAAUCCCGGGUGCUCGAGGCU
rnacentral:rRNA from 1 species